rnacentral:rRNA from 1 species
UACAGAGGUCUCAAGCGUUGUUCGGAUUCAUUGGGCGUAAAGGGUGCGUAGGCGGGUCUUUAAGUCAGGGGUGAAAUCCUGGAGCUCAACUCCAGAACUGCCUUUGAUACUGAAGAUCUUGAGUUCGGGAGAGGUGAGUGGAACUGCGAGUGUAGAGGUGAAAUUCGUAGAUAUUCGCAAGAACACCAGUGGCGAAGGCGGCUCACUGGCCCGGUACUGACGCUGAGGCGCGAAAGCGUGGGGAGCAAACAGG